GAUGAACGCUGGCGGCGUGCCUAAUACAUGCAAGUCGAGCGAACAGACGAGGAGCUUGCUCCUCUGACGUUAGCGGCUGACGGGUGAGUAACACGUGGAUGACCUACCUAUAAUACUGGGAUAACUUCGGGAAACCGGAGCUAAUACCGGAUAAUAUAUUGAACCGCAUGGUUCAAUAGUGAAAGACGGUUUUGCUGUCACUUAUAGAUGGAUCCGCGCCGCAUUAGCUAGUUGGUAAGGUAACGGCUUACCAAGGCAACGAUGCGUAGCCGACCUGAGAGGGUGAUCGGCCACACUGGAACUGAGACACGGUCCAGACUCCUACGGGAGGCAGCAGUAGGGAAUAUUCCGCAAUGGGCGAAAGCCUGACGGAGCAACGCCGCGUGAGUGAUGAAGGUCUUCGGAUCGUAAAACUCUGUUAUUAGGGAAGAACAAAUGUGUAAGUAACUAUGCACGUCUUGACGGUACCUAAUCAGAAAGCCACGGCUAACUACGUG
rnacentral:rRNA from 1 species